AAAUUACUAUUCAUAAGAGAACUUUUAAUCUGGGCCAUUCAUUUCAAAUUUUUUGUCCCAAUUUGUUAAUCAAUCUUGGCCAUUCAUCUUUUUUCUACAGCUAGCAUUGGGCUGACCCAAAGAGAGGUCAGCAGUUCUUUCUUUCACGUUUUCUCUGCUCUGAUUCAUCUUGUCGAAGAAGGUGUGUUGAAGGAGAAGAGUGUUUUUGUCCGAAAUUUUCGUCAUCGUGGGAGGGUUCCCUCACUGUAGAUAGGAUUAGGUUAGAAUUAGGUGGAGAAGAGAGGAGAUUGAAGUUCAGAGAAGAUGACCGAAAAUCAUCAUCACCCUAGAUAGGGUUUAGGUUAGAUUCAGAAGGAGAAGAGAAGAUGGUGGAAGUAGAAGGACAAAAUUUCACUGUUUACAUUUGGGGAUGAUCAUAAGCUGACGAAGAAGGACCAGAAUCAGAAGCCAAGAUGAUGAGAGAUCAUGUCAGUUCAGUACAAGUGCAGCAGGAAGGAUUUACAGAAGAUCUUCUCUUCAGAUCAAGUUGCCUAUAAAUAUUCCCACAACUCUCAAUCUUUGUGGUGCUCUCCCUUCACAAGGCUUCUCCUCCAAAGGUAAAGCUGAUGGUUAGUUUUGGUGACCAAAACAUCAAUUCAAAUUAUCCAAGUUUUUCAGAGCUAAGGUAGAAUCCUUAUUGGCCAGAGGCAUGGAAACAUCUAUUAACAACCCACUACAAAGGGAGAUCAAUUUUCUUUACUGUUGAUACACUAUACCCCUCUUCAUGUAGUUUUGCUUGCUGCCUUCAGGUCCAUUAGUUGGCUAAAAGAAACCAUUUAUGCUAUCUUCUCAAGAUGAAUGCUCCAAAGUCCAAACUCUUACUUUAAUCCCUGUUGUGGAUUUAUUUUCCUUCUUUUAUAUAGUCAUUAUUUAGUUUGUUUCCUUUUAUGAUUUUAGAGAUAUCUUGAGUUAUUUUUUGGUUCUUGAGUGCAGUUCACUGUAUAUGCUUAGUCUGAGAAAGAGGGACUAAAAUACUGAGAAAGGAUUAUUGUCCUUCUUUGCUUUAUAUUUUUUUAUUGUUCUUAUUAACUUAUUAUAUUUUUUUGUUCCAUUUUCCCCCUCACCUGUGCACAUUGGUCAAUCUUCUUCUUUGAUCUUUCUCUCCCUUCAUCAUAGUAGGUAUGGUUCUUAACUUCUAUGGUAAGGAUUCCAUCAAAUAUUAAAUGCAAGGAGAACCUCUUGAAGCCAUUUGUUUGAAUGCCACCAAAGGACCUCUUGGGGAAGUUAUUAUUUAAUUGUGCAUGGUUGUAUGCAUCAUACCUGUAGAUAAACAUAACUAUUAUUUUUAGUUUAGAAAUUUGUUUUGCUAUAUGUUUGAUUGACAAGAAUGUUUUUUCAAUGACCUAUGAAGCACGGAUACUUCUCAUAGAAGGCGUGUUCCCGUGUCGGACACCGACACUCGUACGAUACCCAUACGACACGUAUCAGACACUUUUUCGCGGUGUCCGAGCAAAACGUUUUUUUUUCUUCGACUCGGACACUUCAAGCCGACACCUCUUGUUGGCUAGACACCUAUGGGACACUCAUAUUACUAUUAUAAAAUACAUUUUACAUUUAGACAUAGUGCUUACUUUGUAAAAUAAGUCUUAGUUUUUUUGUAAUAAGUUCAUUAGUAUAGAGCAUAGGAUGUUGUUUUAUGUUUUCUUUAUAAAUAGACCCUAAUUUGUCUUGAUUUGAGAAUGUGUGUAUAUUAUAUAUAUAUAUAUAUAUAUAUAUAUAUAUAUAUUAAUAAAUAAUAUAUAUAUAUAUAAUAUAUAUACGCCGUGUCCUCGUAUCCUACUUUUUGAAUGUUAGCCGUGUCGCAGUGUCCGUAUCAUGUCUGUGUCCGUAUCCGAUUCCGUGCUUCAUAGUCAAUGACUAACAUUUACACAAUGUAGUGGUCAUGGGGAUUUACGUUUAUGUAAUGAAGCAAAUAAAAUUGGAAAGAUGUUUUUUUUUUCUUUUAAAUUAUGUUAGCAUUUGUUAAACUUUGCAAGAGAAAUAAUAGAUAUUUUUUUCUGUCAAUAAGAAUAUGUUGAAAUUAAGAUGAAAUUCAUAUAUAAUUCUUAUACAUUCAAGUGUUUGAGCUUUAGUGACUAGAUUACUCUAAAUUUUCUAACAGGGACGUUUACUCUUCUUGAUGUGUUAAUUAGGCAUUUGCGCAAGAAGCAAAUUAUGUAAGGUUACAAAUUUAAAAAAAUGUGCAUUCAAGAGGUAAAGGAAUAUCAUGGGUUGUGCAGAACGCUGGAAACAAAGAGAAGUGGUUGGAUGAAGGCCUUUUUGCUUUGCCAUGGAAUGACAUGAUUGAAAAAAGUAGGAGAUUUUGCUUGAAUUGAAUGAACCUACUGAGAAAAAUGCAAGUUUCUACUUGUGUAAACAUGAUUUGUUUUUUAUAUUUCUAUUCCUUUUGUUGUCCACGUUGGAACAUUUAAAGUUUUUCUUGGUCACAACUACCUUGCUUACACAGUUAAAA